AGGUUGAGUCAGAGGCCGCAAGGCACGCUAC
rnacentral:piRNA from 1 species